UCAGAUGCGAAAGCGUGGGUAGCAAACAGGAUUAGAUACCCUGGUAGUCCACGCCGUAAACGCUGUCUACUUGGAGGUUGAGGUUUUAGACUUUGGCUUUCGGCGCUAACGCAUUAAGUAGACCGCCUGGGGAGUACGGCCGCAAGGUUAAAACUCAAAUGAAUUGACGGGGGCCCGCACAAGCGGUGGAGCAUGUGGUUUAAUUCGAUGCAACGCGAAGAACCUUACCUACUCUUGACAUCCAGCGAAGCCUUUAGAGAUAGAGGUGUGCCUUCGGGAGCGCUGAGACAGGUGCUGCAUGGCUGUCGUCAGCUCGUGCUGUGAAAUGAUGGGUUAAGUCCCGCAACGAGCGCAACCCUUAUCUUUGUUUGCCAGCACGUAAUGGUGGGAACUCCAGGGAGACUGCCGGUGAUAAACCGGAGGAAGGUGGGGACGACGUCAAGUCAUCAUGGCCCUUACGAGUAGGGCUACACACGUGCUAUAAUGGCAGAUACAGAGGGCAGCGAGACAGCGAUGUUUAGCGAAUCCCUUAAAGUUUGUCGUAGUCCGGAUUGGAGUCUGCAACUCGACUCCAUGAAGUCGGAGUCGCUAGUAGUCGUGGAUCAGAAUGCCACGGUGAAUACGUUCCCGGGCCUUGUACACACCGCCC
rnacentral:rRNA from 1 species